AUUGAACGCUGGCGGCAGGCCUAACACAUGCAAGUCGAGCGAGCGGCGGACGGGUGAGUAAUGUAUGGGGACUGCCCGUAAGCGGGGGAUAACUACUGGAAACGGUAGCUAAUACCGCACACUAUCGGAUAACCCAUAUGGGAUUAGCUAGUUGGUGGGGUAAAGGCUCACAAAGGCAACGAUCCGUAGCCGGUGUGAGAGGGCGACCAGCAACACUGGGACUGGGACACGGCCCAGACUCCUACGGAGGCAGCAGUGGGGAAUUUUGGACAAUGGGGGAAAGCCUGAUCCAGCCAUGCCGCGUGUAUGAUGAAGGCCUUCGGGUUGUAAAGUACUUUUGGCAGAGAAGCGGUAUCUGCAGAAGAAGCACCGGCUAACUACGUGCCAGCAGCCGCGGUAAUUC
rnacentral:rRNA from 1 species